rnacentral:sRNA from 10 species
AGGAAAAGUGUGAAAAUUCAAGGAAACAAGUGAAAAAGGUGGUGAAUCCUCCGCUAAGGGCAAAGAAAUUGUACCCGAGGAUCGGUAGUCAAAGUACUCUAGAAAUUCGACUCCCGAAAUAGCUCAGAAUAGGCUGUAGAUAGCUGGUUUCAUCGAGG